UACAGAGGUGGCAAACGUUGUCCGGAAUUACUGGGUGUAAAGGGUCCGCAGGCGGCCUUGUAAGUCAAUGGUGAAAUGUCCCGGCUCAACCGGGUCACUGCCGUUGAAACUGCAGGGCUUGAGUACGGUAGAGGAGAGUGGAAUUCCCAGUGUAGCGGUGAAAUGCGUAGAUAUUGGGAGGAACACCAGUGGCGAAGGCGGCUCUCUGGACCGAUACUGACGCUCAGGGACGAAAGCCAGGGGAGCAAACGGG
rnacentral:rRNA from 1 species